GCGUGGGAGAGUGAGGUCUUGAGCUGCUGGAGCUGAUACGCUGCCGCCAUGGAGCUCCUGGCAGCUGCCGAAAUAUUUCUGGAGGCCCCAGUGAGAUUCCAACCAUUCUGGCCUCUUGAGCCACCAGAGCCAGGGCGAGGCCGCGCGGGGGUUGGGGGAGCCCAAGGAGCGAACGAGGUGACUGUGCCACCUGAUGGUAUCCCGGGUCCUCCUUCGUGAGUGGUGUUCCUUACUUCUGGCCAGCCCAACCCCGACGGGACUCGGCGGAAGGCGUCCAGACAAGCUGCGGUCAAAAUUGCAGGUGUCCGUGGCUCCAUCACACCAGAAUAAAGAAGGCUGCUCCCACCGCUGACACAGAUGCCUGGGACACUGCCUGGCACAGUGAGAACCCCCUCAAGGUCAAGAUAUGUAGGCGCCCACCAUCGGAAAACAAUGAGCCCUGCUCUGCCCACACCUGGAAGCUCGUUGAACUGUGCCCUGGAAGCCAGAGGAUCUCCAUGCAAACUUGAACUGACGGGGACUGUUGGUAAUUGCCAUUGCCAUUGCCAUAGCCCUCGUGUUUGGAGUGGGGCUCUGUGCCGUAACCCCCUCGGGAUGGGGACAGGGAGCCCAGCUGCCUGUCUGUGCAGUGUGUCUCCUGACGGGCAGUGUGCUAGGAUCCCUGCUCCUACCAGGUCAGCGAGCAAAAUCAAGGGACUCACAGUCCUGUGAACACUCGCCCUGCUGCUCACUCCAGGGGCGACAGGCUGGAACAGGGCUGACUCAUGCCAGGCUGCCUGGAAACCACUACCCGGCUGGCUACCGGGAAUAGAUUUCAAGUUCGAAGAGUUACAUGAGGGGCCUCCGCCGCCCCCCUGAUAAAGCUACUGGGCUGAAACUCAGCCCUCCGAGCCAAGGCCCCGGCCUGGGCCAGGUGCUGAAUGCGGGGACUGCUGGCUCUGGCUGCCCAUCCAGAAGCCCCAGCCUACUGCUGUCCCGAUGAGCGUCCUCAGUGCCGCCAGGGAAGGCAAAGCCAGUUGGAUCCAAGAACCUAGGCCGAUAGGUGUAUGCAUGCCUCUCAGGGCCCUGAGGUGCCUUCAGAGCCUUGGGAAAGUGGUUCAGGAACUCCCAUGGAAUAGGUUUGAGGACAGCCCCAUGUAGACCCGUGACGCCGGAUGCGAGGACAUCUUGGUGUCGCCAUCGGGAAGGCUGUGGGCGGUUGUACCUCCUGCUGGAGUCUGUGUUCCAGUCUGAGAGCUGCUAGCUUGGCCUCUGUCCCUGAAGGUGUGUCUUCCAGCCAAGGGGCCGCCCCCCAUCCCCCACCUUGCAGGGGGUUCUUCCAGGAGUCCAUCAGCCUGGCCGUCCUCUCUGUGAGCUCAGAAGAGACUGCCCCCGAGAUCGAUGCCAUGGGCAGCCCCCGCAGCAUGUUCCCAGGCUGGGGUCUAAUUGGAGCUGCAGCUGCCAGCCCACAGCAACGCUGGAUCUGAGCCGCAUCUGUGACCUCUACGUCAGCUUGCAGCAACACUGGAUCCUUAACCCACUGAGCGAGGCCAGGGAUCGAACCCCCGUCCUCAUGGAUGCUGGUCGGGCCGUUCCUCCAGAAGUUUGGCAGCCCCACCAGCCCCCUCGCUCCCGGGGGGGGCCUUGCCCCUCCAGCCUCCGCGCUGCUCUCCGCACAGAGCUGCCGUGGCCGUGGCUGAGCGAGCCCUGGGUGGGGCGAGCAACCUCUUCGACACACACAGCGCUCCUGGCCAUGGCGCAGCGCUUCCGGCAGAACCGCAGUGAACUCAUGACCACCUGGACCUGUGGGUCUAUGACGGGGGGAGGGGGGGCCCAGCCCUGUCCCUGGAUUCCGGGGAGCAGAUGCUGCGGGCGACCUGACCGGCGACACUGUCUUCAGCUACUGCUGCAAGGCUCUGCAAGACGCUGCUGGCCUGGCGCCAGCGCUGGAAGUCCUUCCUGCACUUGGAGACCACUGAGCCGCCCUCUGGCCCUGGAUCGCCAUGGAGGAGGGCUUCCAACUGGUGUGUGAGCUGGGCACGCUGGACUGGAUCUACCACGAGCCAAGCCCAAGUGCCUGGCUCCCAAAGACAUGCCUGUGGCGGUGCCUACUGACGGCCGCGCCCUCGGAGCUGUCCCUCUCCCUGGUCAGCCUGCUGGUCAAGGGCAUGACGGUGCUGAAGAUCCAGACCAUGGCCGCCAAGCUCCUGCUGGGGCCCAACCCGAUGAACACAAAUCGUGGGCUGGCUGCUGAGCCGCGGUGUGUCCAGGGAGCGGGUGGACCGGUGAACCACCAGGGUCCUCCUGGAGCUGCCCAUCAAAGGGGCCAAGCACAGCCGGGGCUGAGGCCCCCCACGUGCUGGUGGAGGAGCAGCCCCUGCCUCCCCGGUCCUCUGACCAGGCCUGCAGGGAGGAGCUGCAGUGCACCAGGACUACGCACCCCACAAUCCAGGCCACUUUCUGCUUGGUGCUGGGAGUGGAGCAGGGGCCCAUGUCGGAGAGACACAAAGUCUUGGCCAAAGCGCCUCCUGAUCGUCCCCAGGAUAGACAGAGGGACAGCACCCCCAGCUCCAGCCAUCUCCUGCCAGGCCAGACCCUGACCACGCAUCCUGAAAACCUCGGAGAGGGUCCUUGCCCCCGCCGCCGUGGGCAUCACUGGCCUGAGCUGGUGGAGAGCAGCCAGUUGGCUGGCGUUGCUGGUUGAGGGGAGAGAGUCCGUUAAAUAUUUCAGUCUGUUACACCUUAGCCUGAUAAGCGGGGUGGGUGGGCACCCACCGUUGUGCCACACGGGCCCCCAACGCACUACAGGCCAAGCUUGAGACCCCGCAUCCCACCCCGCAAAAGCACCUUCAAGUUUGUGCCCUUGCCCUUGAGGUUUUUUCUUUAACGCGGUGGCUGUACCUGAUACUUGACUUUAGGCGUGUGCGGCGCUUGGGUUUAGUGUCCUCACUACUGCUUUUGUGAUGGUUUUUCUCUAAGUUGUUUUUUUUGUUUGUUUUUUUUGCAAUGCCCUUUUCUUGAAAUGGAAUUUUUUUGCCUUUUGCUUUCCUGGGAAAAGGGCAGCCAGUCCCUUCCAGUUUCUCUCGCUGCACGCGUGGCUGGAGUGUCUGCAUCACCAGAGUUCCAGCAUUGUGAGGAUGGACAGCCGUGGCAGGUGGUGCCGGACACCAUUAAAGAGCCCAUGUGCUGC
rnacentral:lncRNA from 1 species